GGGGCUGUGGCUCAGUGGUAGAGCAUCAGCUUGGCAUGCACAGGGUUCCAGGUUCAAUCUCCGGCAUCUCCA
rnacentral:tRNA from 1 species